UCACCAUUACUGUCUGCUCCUAUAUCACCUGCAUUAUUUUGUACAUUGCUUCCGGCUCCCAUAUCACCUGCAGCAUUGUCUACAUUGUUGUUGGCUCCAACAUCACCACCAAUGCCUACAUUACUGUUACCUCCAGUAUCAACGCCAUUGUCUACAUUACUAUCAACUCCCAUAUUUGGAUUAUUGUCAACUCCUACGUUCAUAUUGCCGUUAUCGUUAGGAUUUCCUAAACCAACUCCGUUGUUAGUAUUGCCAUUAGCACCGACUCCAAGGUUUGCAUUGCCAUUAGCAGCAGCUCCAGCGUUUGCAUUGUCAUUAGCACCGACUCCAAGGUUUGCAUUGUCAUUAGCACCGACUCCAAGGUUUGCAUUGCCAUUAGCAGCAGCUCCAGCGUUUGCAUUGGCAAUAGCAGCAGCUCCAGCGUUUACAUUGCCAUUAGCACCAACUCCAGGGUUUGCAUUAGCAUUAUUAGCACCAACUCCAACUCCAACAUUACCAUUGUUUGGAAUAUUAUUGUUAACUCCAACGUUGCCAUCGACAAAAUUAGGAUUUGUC
rnacentral:lncRNA from 1 species